GACGAACGCUGGCGGCGUGCUUAACACAUGCAAGUCGAACGGAAAGGCCCUGCUUUUGUGGGGUGCUCGAGUGGCGAACGGGUGAGUAACACGUGAGUAACCUGCCCUUGACUUUGGGAUAACUUCAGGAAACUGGGGCUAAUACCGGAUAGGAGCUCCUGCUGCAUGGUGGGGGUUGGAAAGUUUCGGCGGUUGGGGAUGGACUCGCGGCUUAUCAGCUUGUUGGUGGAGUAGUGGCUUACCAAGGCUUUGACGGGUAGCCGGCCUGAGAGGGUGACCGGCCACAUGGGGACUGAGAUACGGCCCAGACUCCUACGGGAGGCAGCAGUGGGGAAUAUUGCACAAUGGGCGGAAGCCUGAUGCAGCAACGCCGCGUGCGGGAUGACGGCCUUCGGGUUGUAAACCGCUUUCGCCUGUGACGAAGCGUGAGUGACGGUAAUGGGUAAAGAAGCACCGGCUAACUACGUG
rnacentral:rRNA from 1 species